GAUGAACGCUGGCGGCGUGCCUAAUACAUGCAAGUCGAGCGAACGGAUGAGAAGCUUGCUCCUCUGAUGUUAGCGGCGGACGGGUGAGUAACACGUGGAUAACCUACCUAUAAGACUGGGAUAACUUCGGGAAACCGUAGCUAAUACCGGAUAAUAUUUUGCACUGCAUGGUUCAAAAGUGAAAGACGCUCUUGCUGUCACUUAUAGAUUGAUCCGCGCUGCAUUAGCUAGUUGGUAAGGUAACGGCUUACCAAGGCCACGAUGCAUAGCCGACCUGAGAGGGAGAUCGAGCACACUGGAACUGAGGCACGGUCCAGACUCCUACGGGAGGCAGCAGUAGGGAAUCUUCCGCGAUGCGGGAAGGCCGAACGGAGCAACGCGGCGUGAGUGAUGAAGGUCUUCGGAUCGUAAAACUCUGUUAUUAGGAAAGAACAUAUGUGUAAGUAACUGUGCACAUCAUGACGGUACCUAAUCAGAAAGCCACGGCUAACUACGUG
rnacentral:rRNA from 1 species